rnacentral:rRNA from 1 species
GAUGAACGCUGGCGGCGUGCCUAAUACAUGCAAGUCGAGCGAACAGACGAGGAGCUUGCUCCUCUGACGUUAGCGGCGGACGGGGGAGUAAAACGUGGAUAACCUACCUAUAAGACUGGGAUAACUUCGGGAAACCGGAGCUAAUACCGGAUAAUAUAUUGAACCGCAUGGUUCAAUAGUGAAAGACGGUUUUGCUGUCACUUAUAGAUGGAUCCGCGCCGCAUUAGCUAGUUGGUAAGGUAACGGCUUACCAAGGCAACGAUGCGUAGCCGACCUGAGAGGGUGAUCGGCCACACUGGAACUGAGACACGGUCCAGACUCCUACGGGAGGCAGCAGUAGGGAAUCUUCCGCAAUGGGCGAAAGCCUGACGGAGCAACGCCGCGUGAGUGAUGAAGGUCUUCGGAUCGUAAAACUCUGUUAUUAGGGAAGAACAAAUGUGUAAGUAACUAUGCACGUCUUGACGGUACCUAAUCAGAAAGCCACGGCUAACUACGUG